AUCAACUUUCGAUGGUAGGAUAGAGGCCUACCAUGGUGGUAACGGGUAACGGGGUGUUAGGGCACGACACCGGAGAGGGAGCCUGAGAAACGGCUACCACAUCCAAGGAUGGCAGCAGGCGCGCAAAUUACCCAAUCCCGACACGGGGAGGUAGUGACAAUAAAUAACAAUACGGGGUCCUUUCGGGUUUCGUAAUUGGAAUGAGUACAAUUUAAAUCUCUUAACGAGGAACAAUUGGAGGGCAAGUCUGGUGCCAGCAGCCGCGGUAAUUCCAGCUCCAAUAGCGUAUAUUAAAGUUGUUGCAGUUAAAAAGCUCGUAGUUGAAUUUCGGGAUUAGUACGUUGGUCGUGCCUUCGGUACGUACUGGUGUUACUGAUUCCUACCUUCUGACGAACCAUCAUGUCAUUAAUUUGGUGUGGUGGGGAAUCAGGACUGUUACUUUGAAAAAAUUAGAGUGUUUAAAGCAGGCUCGCGCUUGAAUACAUUAGCAUGGAAUAAUGAAAUAGGACGUUGACCCUAUUUUGUUGGUUUCUAGGAUUGACGUAAUGAUUAAUAGGGAUAGUUGGGGCCAUUAGUAUUCAAUUGUCAGAGGUGAAAUUCUUGGAUUUAUUGAAGACUAACUACUGCGAAAGCAUUUGCCAAGGAUGUUUUCAUUAAUCAAGAACGAAAGUUAGGGGAUCGAAGACGAUCAGAUACCGUCGUAGUCUUAACCAUAAACUAUGCCGACUAGGGAUCGGAUGAUGUUAUUUUUAAUGACUCAUUCGGCGCCUUACGGGAAACCAAAGUGUUUGGGUUC
rnacentral:rRNA from 1 species